UACAGAGGGUGCGAGCGUUAAUCGGAAUUACUGGGCGUAAAGCGUGCGUAGACGGUUUCGUAAGUCGGGUGUGAAAUCCCCGGGCUCAACCUGGGAAUUGCAUUCGAAACUCGAGGCUAGGGUACGGAAGAGGGAAGCGGAAUUUCUGGUGUAGCGGUGAAAUUCGUAGAUAUUCGCAAGAACACCAGUGGCGAAGGCGGCUCACUGGCUCGGUACUGACGCUGAGGGUGCGAAAACGU
rnacentral:rRNA from 1 species